AUUGAACGCUGGCGGCAGGCCUAACACAUGCAAGUCGAGCGGAGCGGCGGACGGGUGAGUAAUGCCUAGGAAUAUGCAUGGUGGUGGGGGAUAACGUCCGGAAAAGGGCGCUAAUACCGCAUACUAUCAGCUGCGCCUAGGUCGGUUUAGCUAGUGGGGGGGGUAAAGGCCUACCAAGGCGACGAUCCGUACCUGGUCUGAGAGGAUGAUCAGCCAAACUGGAACUGGGACACGGUCCAGACCCCUACGGGGGGAAGCAUUGGGGAAUAUUCGACAAGGGCGGCAAGCCUGCUGCAGCCAUGCGGCUUGUAUGAAGCAGGCCUUCGGGUUGUAAAGUACUUUAAGUUGGUAGACGGUACCAACAGAAUAAGCCACGGCUAACUUCGUGCCAGCAGCCGCGGUAAUUC
rnacentral:rRNA from 1 species